rnacentral:sRNA from 1 species
CCGGGGGACCAAUUUGGUUGUCUCAAGGGUGGUGGCACUCUCCCAGAUCGAAAGAGGGUGAUGCUGAAUGACAGUUUWUGAAACGUUCAUGAUUGCGAUUGCUUUUACUAGCUUAAUCGUAGCCAUACUGUCAUUUAAACAAAAAUAAUCCACCCUUGAGUUUUAGCGGCUCGGGUGAAUUAUCUACACUAUAGCCGAUCCUAUUGAGGGAAGCGUCUAUCGCUGGACCGGACAUGUUACUGCAUGUUCG